UCCGUAGGUGAACCUGCGGAGGGAUCAUUACCGAGUGGAUCGCUUCCGGGCGUGACCUCCAACCCCAUUGUAAUCCGACUCUGUUGCCUCGGGGGCGACCCGGCCUUUGGCCCCGGGGCCCCCGGUGGAAAUCUACCAAACACUGCAUCCAUGCGUCCGAGUAUAAAUUAAAUCAAUUUAAAACUUUCAACAACGGAUCUCUUGGUUCUGGCAUCGAUGAAGAACGCAGCGAAAUGCGAUAAGUAAUGUGAAUUGCAGAAUUCAGUGAAUCAUCGAAUCUUUGAACGCACAUUGCGCCCCCUGGCAUUCCGGGGGGCAUGCCUGUUCGAGCGUCAUUUCACCACUCAAGCCUCGCUUGGUAUUGGGCAACGCGGUCCGCCGCGUGCCUCAAAUCGACCGGCUGGGUCUUCUGUCCCCUAAGCGUUGUGGAAACUAUUCGCUAAAGGGUGUUCGGGAGGCUACGCCGUAAAACAACCCCAUUUCUAAGGUUGACCUCGGAUCAGGUAGGGAUACCCGCUGAACUUAAGCAUAUCAAUAAGCGGAGGA
rnacentral:rRNA from 1 species